GACGAACGCUGGCGGCGUGCUUAACACAUGCAAGUCGAACGGAAAGGCCCUGCUUUUGUGGGGUGCUCGAUUGGCGAACGGGUGAGUAACACGUGAGUAACCUGCCCUUGACUUCGGGAUAACUUCAGGAAACUGGGGCUAAUACCGGAUAUGAGCUCCUGCUGCAUGGUGGGGGUUGGAAAGUUUCGGCGGUUGGGGAUGGACUCGCGGGUUAUCAGCUUGUUGGUGGGGUAGUGGCUUACCAAGGCUUUGACGGGUAGCCGGCCUGAGAGGGUGACCGGCCACAUUGGGACUGAGAUACGGACCAGACUCCUACGGGCGGCAGCAGUGGGGAAUAUUGCACAAUGGGCGGAAGCCUGAUGCAGCAACGCCGCGUGCGGGAUGACGGCCUUCGGGUUGUAAACCGCUUUCGCCUGUGACGAAGCGUGAGUGACGGUAAUGGGUAAAGAAGCACCGGCUAACUACGUG
rnacentral:rRNA from 1 species